rnacentral:lncRNA from 1 species
CUCUGUGACAGGAAGUAGGGAGAAUUCUCUGAGCCUUGGGAUUAUUUAUGAGGGAGACGUUACUGGGGACUAUAAGAAACUAGCCCUGGAUAGAGGCAUUUAACAGUUACAACCCUCACUGUGUCCCUAGAGCCGUCACUUAAAAGUAGACUUGGGAUAAUGUCACAGUUGAGAAUUUCCUGCCCUCAAGAAUGCAUCACCACAGCCCAGCCUGAAGUAAGAAAAGCAGGCCUGAGACACCGGGAGAAACUCAGCAGAGCAUCGAAAGAAAAAGAAGUGUCUCUGUCUCUACUGCCGCUCUCUUAGUUAUGACUGUCCAAAGGUUUUCACCUCAGAAUCCCAGAAUGACUUACAACACAAAAGAAGAGACUACUAGUUCCAAGGCAGGUUGGCAUGGUGGGAGAGAGCUGCUCACAGUGAGACAGAGAGGAGCUGAGAAAGGAGGAGCCAAGGAGGGAGAUGCCACACAUUUCUAGGAACCCCUCUCUCAUGACCACUCCAUCCCUAACACUGAGACGGCUGAACUGUCCUCAAAAUCCAGUCGCCUUCUAGAAGCCCCACAAAGGAGCACAAGAGCCUCUGGGGACAUCUGAAUAUAAACUGCAAUGUCACUGCCGCGAGGAGGCCCAAAUGAGCCACACAGGAAAAGCCAAAGCACACUGGCCCACAGCUUCUGCUGACCCUGGGACUGAGUCCAUCUACCGAUUGCUAGCAGUCAUGUAGGUGAGACCAGCAGGACAACCGCCCUUCCAGCAUUCAGGGUUUCUGAGGAAUCCCAAUUUGCUCCUGAUUUCAAUGGCGA